rnacentral:RNase_P_RNA from 1 species
UUGUUGUACUGGAUGAUCGCGCUUGUCGAAAGGCAGGUGAGGAAAGUCCGAACACAGGCUUAUGAAAAUAAGCAGCAGGGUAGUGGGUAAUUCCCAUCCAUAGCAAUAUGCGAGGUGCGAGCAGUGACGUCUAAUCCGAAAGGAGAGGAAUUCCCUUGGGAAUAAUCCAAUGGAGACAUUGGGGUGAAACGGCUAAAUCCUUACUUCUGUGCAAGACCGUGUCCUAGCUUGCUAGGGAGAGUCGCUUGAGGGUAUUGGCAACAAUACUCCUAGAUAAAUGAUUGUCGUCUAUCGCAAGAUAGAUACAGAAUUCGGCUUAUAGGUACAACAAAAAA